UACGUAGGGUGCAAGCGUUGUCCGGAAUUAUUGGGCGUAAAGGGCUCGUAGGCGGUCUGUUGCGUCAGGAGUGAAAACUCGGGGCUUAACCCCGAGCCUGCUUCUGAUACGGGCAGACUAGAGGUAUGCAGGGGAGAGCGGAAUUCCUGGUGUAGCGGUGAAAUGUGCAGAUAUCAGGAGGAACACCGGUGGCGAAGGCGGUUCUCUGGGCAUUACCUGACGCUGAGGAGCGAAAGUGUGGGGAGCGAACAGG
rnacentral:rRNA from 1 species